rnacentral:lncRNA from 1 species
GGCCUAGUGGGACUGCAGUAUUAUUAAUAUUGAUUUACUCGUUCGGUCAUUGCAUUGGAAAAAACACAUUUAUUCUAAAACCAGUUGUUGGCAUCAUACGGGUUAUGCUCUUCUCAUAUAUUUUAUGACGGUAUGAUACUGAAUCCCUAACCAGAGGGAUUGUACUUGAUCUUCAUAUUUUGCGCAUGUCCCAAUUCAGGAGCCUCUGGCUUUUGUUAGUCUUGGUUUUUUUUGUAUUUUUUUUUACUUUUUGUUUAUUUAUAUGGUUUGGACUUUAGUAUGACGUCCAUUUUCACUGAACUAGUACACAUUUUUAUUUAAGGGGCAGUUGAGUUCCACCUCCGCGUGCGGGGUUUUCUCGCUGCAUUGAAGACUCAUUGGUGCCCCUCGGCUGUUAUCUGCUCAUUAAAUUGGUAGGGUUGUUGCCCCUCUGACAUAUUCCCAAUUCCCAUUCUCAAUUUUAUAUUAUUUAUUAAUGUAUUUUUCCCGUUUGUAUGUCAAUAUUUUUAUGCCCCACCUACGAUAGUAGAGGGGCAUUAUGUUUUCUGGUCUGUGCCUCCGUUCGUCCGUCCGUCUGUGCGUCCGUUCGCUUCAGGUUAAAGUUUUUGGUCAAGGUAGUUUUUGAAGAAGUUGAAGUCUAAUCAACUUGAAACUUAGUACACAUGUUCCCUAUGCUAUGAUCUUUCUAAUUUUAAUUCCAAAUUAAAGUUUUGACCCCAAUUUCACGGUCCACUGAACAUAGAAAAUGAUAGUGCGAGUGGGGCAUCCGUGUACUUGGGACACAUUCUUGUUAUUAUUGUAAUGUAGUUGUAUUUCAUAGGCCGUAUAAAUAUUACUUUUUUAUAGAUAGUGUUCAUUAUGUUAUAGUUAUUGACCAAGCAAGUCGGUAUAUGCCAUUUAAUCUGCACAGCACGAGAAGACCCAUCUCGUGCUGUGCAGAUUAAAUUACAUAUACCGAUUUGAUUGGCCAAUAACUGUUUUAAC